CCUACGGGUGGCAGCAGUAGGGAAUUUUCGUCAAUGGGCGCAAGCCUGAACGAGCAAUGCCGCGUGAACGAGGAAGGUCUUCGGAUCGUAAAGUUCUGUUGAAGGGGAAAAAGAGCGGAGAGAGGAAAUGCUUUCUGAUUGAUAUUACCCUUCGAGGAAGUCACGGCUAACUACGUGCCAGCAGCCGCGGUAAUACGUAGGUGGCGAGCGUUAUCCGGAAUGAUUGGGCGUAAAGGGUGUGCAGCCGGAGAGACAAGUCAGAUGUGAAAUCCACGGGCUCAACCCGUGAACUGCAUUUGAAACUGUUUCCCUUGAGUGUCGGAGAGGUAAUCGGAACUCCUUGUGUAGCGGUGAAAUGCGUAGAUAUAAGGAAGAACACCAGUGGCGAAGGCGGAUUACUGGACGAUAACUGACGGUGAGGCGCGAAAGCGUGGGGAGCAAACAGGAUUAGAUACCCCAGUAGUC
rnacentral:rRNA from 1 species